UAUAAUGGAGGCAGAAGAGCAUCAGCCAUGGAAGGUAAGCUUUUACUCUGAAUUGCCAAAGUGGAACUUCAUGCCCACUUGAAUUGAUCCAUUAGAACUAAUGGAUCCAGAAUCCACGAUCAGACAAAACUGUGAUUGACAAGGGAAAAAAACAAACUUUAGAAGAAUGUUUCCAGAUGUUCAAAAUGAUUCAUCAGCUUACUAGUAGUUGGGAAGGUAUUCUAAUGGUCACAAGAGAUAUCAUUAAAGAAUUUGCAGAGUGAAUCUAUACUUGAAAGUAUAAAACGGUCCAAACAAGAAAACUUAGACACUGACGUUAG
rnacentral:lncRNA from 1 species